AUUAAACAUCCUACAUGUUUCCAGGAAAAAGGAAAAACAUUGGAAAACAAUUUUAGAAUAAGGUUUGAGAAUAAAGCCAAUGGUCCUCUAUUAAGGCUAACUGUGUAUAUUGCCUUUGUGGACUGCAAGCUGAACUUACAGAUUUAUAUGGACUUUACUUACAGGUUUCCUGUGCUGUUUUGCUCCAUUUUACUGAACAAAAUAAGGCUGAGGUAGCACCAUCCUUGUGGUUAGAGUGAAAGAAUGUGGGUAUUGAGACCAAAAUAAACAAUGUGCCAUUCUGGACAAACAGCUGUGGACAAUAUAUGCAGUCAGAGUAGCCUAUUUUCUCACACAGAUGAGGAGCAACCAGUAAGAAAAAGCAAAAAGAUGUUUUGAUGUUGCCUGAGGCACCUUAUUUUCCAUUUCAUGCACAAUCACAAAUGCAGCACAUCAAUCAAUUUCUUCCAACCAGCGAAUCAAGAAAUCUUGGAGUGGAGAAUCAUUCUGAAAGUAGACCAAAUCCAGGACAACAUCACAGCAGUGGUCGGAAAAAUGCAGCAAGCCAAGCUGACUUUCAAAAGAUGAUUCGUUCUCUGUUUCUUCAGAGGGGAGGCAGUUUGGGAGAUGGGAAUUAGGACGAUGCUACAGUUAACACAGGGCAAAUUUCAGCAGCUCAGUUUCAAACUUGCAACUAACAUUGAGUUAUAGUUAGAAGACCACGGAAAUAUUUGACAUCGGAGUCCAGCAGACAGCCAGAGACACGCACACACACGCAGCUGAAGCGCGUUUGAUUGACGGGAGAUCCGGCACGCGCACGGGAGCUCGCGCACGCUCACACAAACACGGAGCACAGGAUAAUUACAACUGUUUAAU